CUCUAAAGUACAAUCUAGACAACUUGAGCUUUCAGAAAAGUUACUACACUUAUACAUAGAAGCAAAUUUACUAGGAAAAAACGUGUCCACAGACUUGAAUAAGAACAAAGAACAAAAGAGCUGAUACUGGGAAUGGGAGCAGCCACUGUUGUAGGUGAGAAAUUGAGAAGGUAGGAUACAUAAGAUUAUUUAAUUUAUAUCUGUAAGCAACGAUAAACCAUUACUUAACGAAAGACGAUU